UUCUUUUUAGGCCUCCUGGUACUGGCAAGACUCUGAUGGCACGUCAAAUAGGAAAGAUGUUGAAUGGAAAGGAUCCAAAGGAUCUCCCAACCAGCUUGUCCUUCUUAUUCUCGAAUGGAUCUGAAUCAGAUCAAACAUGUAGCUCGAGCUUCUGGAUCAGCCGCCAGCUAGAAGCUAGCUGUUGGAUCUUCCACAAGCUAGUUGUUGCUGCUGCUGUCUGCUAGCUAGGUGUUGCUGCUGUCAGCUAGCUACUACUGCUGCUUUCAGCUAGGUGAUGCUCUGCUGCCUGCCAGCCAGAGAUGCUCUGAAGCCUGCUGCCACUAAAGCUCCAGCCAACAUCUGCGCUGAACUGGUUAUGAGAGAAGCAGCAAGGCCUGUUGUUGUUGCUGAUAACCCCAACCUACUAAUCUCAAGAAGGUUCCUGCUGGAGUUAAUAGUAUAAACAACUACUACUGUGCUGACGGUCAUAACACUGGAAAUUUCAUCACGAUAACUCUUUAUUUGGCAACGAUGAAGUCUUACUUAUUUGGGGAAGCACAUGAAGUUAUCGACUUAUUAGUUAUUU